rnacentral:rRNA from 1 species
UACGUAGGGUGCAAGCGUUGUCCGGAAUUAUUGGGCGUAAAGAGCUCGUAGGCGGUUCGUCGCGUCGGCUGUGAAAACCUGAGGCUCAACCUCAGGCCUGCAGUCGAUACGGGCGGACUUGAGUACUGCAGGGGAGACUGGAAUUCCUGGUGUAGCGGUGAAAUGCGCAGAUAUCGGGAGGAACACCAGUGGCGAAGGCGGCGACCUGGACGGACAUUGACGCUGAGACGCGAAAGCGUGGGGAGCAAACAGG